rnacentral:rRNA from 1 species
UACGGAGGGUGCAAACGUUGCUCGGAAUCAUUGGGCGUAAAGCGCACGUAGGUGGCUUGUUAAGUCGGGUGUGAAAUCCCUGGGCUCAACCCAGGAAGUGCACUCGAAACUGGCGAGCUUGAGUACUGAAGAGGGUCGCGGAAUUCCCGGUGUAGAGGUGAAAUUCGUAGAUAUCGGGAGGAACACCAGUGGCGAAGGCGGCGACCUGGCAGAUACUGACACUGAGGUGCGAAAGCGUGGGGAGCAAACAGG